GGUGUAUCAAGAGUGUGGAGGAGGGCCUGGCCCGUUAUUACUCCAUCGGCAACUUGUCCUAAGUGGCUAAGCAUUGGUGCUUUUGCGAAGCCCCUAAAGGAUAAAGUGCCAAUUCCAGCCCGCUUUGCGGGAACGAUACUUG
rfam:Parcubacteria (Giovannonibacteria) bacterium GW2011_GWA2_45_21 TX06_C0007, whole genome shotgun sequence.